rnacentral:tRNA from 1 species
AGCUAAAUAGUUUAAAAUUUAAAAACAUUAAUUUUGUAAAUUAAAAUUAUAUUAAAUUC